UAAAAGUUGAAGAAAAUUUAGGUUGAAAAAUUAGUUUUAAAUUAUAGUCCAAAGAUGACAUUUAAGACUACAUAGAAUAACACAUAGUAAGUGCAAUAGUAAAGGAAUAAAGUCCUUUGGACACUAUCCCUUACACUCCGGAGAACCAUCACAGCACAAUUUUUUUUCAUAUGUAUACCAUCAUUACAUUUGGUUUCUUCAAAAAGGUACUUUCUGGAUCCAAAUUUUUCUGCCUGAGAAGUAAGGAAUGGAGCUGAACCUUGUCAAGGGAACAGUCCUCCUCUUUCUCACUGGACUGGGCACUGUGGGGAGCGUCACCGCUCUUGUGAAUUAUGCACCCAUCCUGGCAGGCACAGAGAAGAAAUCCACUCACUUUAUUCUCCUCCAUUUGGAUUUCACAAAUGUCAUAACACUUCUUUCCAAAGGAAUUCCAAGGACAAUAGCAGCUUUUCAUCUGAGAAACUUUCUAGAUUGCCCCUUACCUGCAGAGGGUGGCCCGGGCCUCUCCAUCUGCACCACGGUGGUCCAGGCCAUCAGCAUGAGUCCCAGACACUCCAGGGGGAGGAGGCCCACGCUCAGAGCUGCAUGGCAUGUCCUUCACGUGUUUCUCUUCUGGAUUCUCAGCUCCUGGAUAGCAAAGCUGCUGACCGCCCUGAGCUGACAACGAGGUAACAAAAAGAGGACUCAGCUGCCGCCCCUUCCCAGUCUGCAGCCCUGCGAGAAAAGUCACAGAGUGUGUGUAGGACAGCGCUUUCCCCGCACACACUGCUGCUGGAGAGAAGCGCGGCGAUGGGCCUGACGGAUGCAGGGAGCCUGGAGACUGGAAACGCAGGUUCAGAGAAGUCUGCGUAAUCAAUGGAUGCUAAUACUUGUCAUUUUAAAAUCAACAAAUUGUACCAUUUUAAAGAGAGAGACUCAAUUUAGCAAAUUGCAUUAAAAUAACUUAAAUAUUCGCUGCUGAUCCUAGAAUUUCACUUCUAAGCCAGAUCUUUCAAAUAUAUUCUUAUGUAACACACACAUAUAAAAACACUGAUAUGAAUAAAAAAUAUUGAUUGCACUGUUGGUUUCUAAACAACCCUAAAUAUGUACUUUAAGAAGUUGUUUGCUUGUUAUAUGAAGGAAAUAUUCAUCGCUUCAAGGGUUUUUAGUGAACCUGGGGAAGAAGGGGCGACUCCAGCCUGUGAUACCAGGCAGUGCCGUCAUUCAUGCUGAAUGUCCAUCCCUACACAGAGCAGUCAUAUUUUAAAAAUAUAGAUUUGACUUUAUGUUUAUGUUAUGAACACAAAUAUGAUAUGAAUACAAA
rnacentral:lncRNA from 1 species